rnacentral:rRNA from 1 species
ACCCGCACAAGCAGCGGAGCGUGUGGUUUAAUUCGAUGCUACACGAAGAACCUUACCAGGGUUUGACAUGCAAGUGGUAGGAAACUGAAAGGGACCGACCUUCGGGAGCUUGCACAGGUGCUGCAUGGCUGUCGUCAGCUCGUGUCGUGAGAUGUUCGGUUAAGUCCGCUAACGAGCGCAACCCUCACUGUGUGUUAUAUGUGUCACACGGGACUGCCGGUUUUAAGCCGGAGGAAGGUGGGGAUGACGUCAAGUCAGCAUGGCCUUUAUAUCCUGGGCUACACACACGCUACAAUGGUCGGUACAAUAGGUUGCCAAGCCGCGAGGCGGAGCCAAUCCAAAAAAGCCGGCCUCAGUUCAGAUUGUAGGCUGCAACUCGCCUGCAUGAAGAUGGAGUUGCUAGUAACCGCAGGUCAGCAAUACUGCGGUGAAUACGUUCCUGGGUCUU